UCAUUACUGAGUGCGGGCUGCCUCCGGGCGCCCAACCUCCCACCCGUGACUACCUAACACUGUUGCUUCGGCGGGGAGCCCUCUCGGGGGCGAGCCGCCGGGGACUACUGAACUUCAUGCCUGAGAGUGAUGCAGUCUGAGUCUGAAUAUAAAAUCAGUCAAAACUUUCAACAAUGGAUCUCUUGGUUCCGGCAACGAUGAAGAACGCAGCGAACUGCGAUAAGUAAUGUGAAUUGCAGAAUUCAGUGAAUCAUCGAGUCUUUGAACGCACAUUGCGCCCCCUGGCAUUCCGGGGGGCAUGCCUGUCCGAGCGUCAUUGCUGCCCAUCAAGCCCGGCUUGUGAGAUGGGUCGUCGUCCCCCCCAGAGGAAAGACCCGAAAGGAGGCAGCGGAAACAAGUCCGGUCCUCAAGCGUAUGGGGCU
rnacentral:rRNA from 1 species